GGUAGAGGAGCAUUCUUAAAGAGACGAAGCUGUACCGAAAGGAGCAGUGGAUUUUUAAGAAGAGAGAAUGCCGGAAUGAGUAGCGAGAAAGAGGUGAGAAUCCUCUUGGCCGAAUAUCUAAGGUUUCCAGGGUAAAGCUGAUCUGCCCUGGGUAAGUCGGGGCCUAAGGCGAGGUCGAAAGACGUAGUCGAUGGAUAACAGGUUGAAAUUCCUGUACUAUCCUGUAACAGAACUGUGGGGACGCAGACAGAGAGCACAAGCCGGGAAUGGAAAGACCGGUGCAAGCGAGGUAGGAGUACAUCAGGCAAAUCCGGUGUGCAAUCCGAAGACGUGAUGCGGAUCGAAAAGAAGUAGAGAAGUGUGUGAGCUGGCUGCCAAGAAAAGCCGCUAUUGUUUACAGGAUACCCGUACCGUAAACCGACACAGGUGGAUGAGGAGAGAAUCCUAAGGCCGACGGGAGAAGCAUUGUUAAGGAACUCGGCAAAAUGACUCCGUAACUUCGGGAGAAGGAGUGCCAUGCGAAUGGCCGCAGAGAAUUGGCCCAAGCAACUGUUUAGCAAAAACACAGGUCUAUGCGAAACCGAAAGGUGAGGUAUAUGGGCUGACGCCUGCCCGGUGCUGGAAGGUUAAGGGGAGAGGUUAGCGCAAGCGAAGCUUUGAACUUAAGCCCCAGUAAACGGCGGCCGUAACUAUAACGGUCCUAAGGUAGCGAAAUUCCUUGUCGGGUAAGUUCCGACCCGCACGAAAGGCGUAAUGAUUUGGGCACUGUCUCAACAAUGCACCCGGUGAAAUUGAAAUACCAGUGAAGAUGCUGGUUACCUGCGCCAGGACGGAAAGACCCCAUGGAGCUUUACUCUAGCUUGAUACUGGGAUUCGAUAUUGCAUGUACAGGAUAGGUGGGAGACUAGGAAGUGGUGACGCCAGUUGCCAUGGAGUCAAUGUUGGGAUACCACCCUUGCAGUAUUGGGUUUCUAACCAGCAGCCGUGAUCCGGCUGGGGGACAAUGUCAGGUGGGGAGUUUGACUGGGGCGGUCGCCUCCGAAAGGGUAUCGGAGGCGCUCAAAGGUUCCCUCAGAAUGGUUGGAAACCAUUCGAAGAGUGCAAAGGCAGAAGGGAGCUUGACUGCGACACCGACGGGUGGAGCAGGUACGAAAGUAGGACUUAGUGAUCCGGUGGUAUAAAGUGGGAUUGCCAUCGCUCAACGGAUAAAAGCUACCCUGGGGAUAACAGGCUUAUCACUCCCAAGAGUUCACAUCGACGGAGUGGUUUGGCACCUCGAUGUCGGCUCAUCGCAUCCUGGGGCUGUAGUCGGUCCCAAGGGUUGGGCUGUUCGCCCAUUAAAGCGGUACGCGAGCUGGGUUCAGAACGUCGUGAGACAGUUCGGUCCCUAUCCGGCGUGGGCGUAGGAUAUUUGAGAGGAGCUGCCCUUAGUACGAGAGGACCGGGGUGGACUGGCCGCUGGUGUAUCUGUUGUAUUACCAAGUGCAUAGCAGAGUAGCCAAGCCGGGAAGGGAUAAACGCUGAAGGCAUCUAAGCGUGAAGCCCCCCUCAAGAUGAGAUAUCCCAUAACGUCAAGUUAGUAAGACCCCUUGAAGACGACGAGGUAGAUAGGGCAGAGGUGGAAGUGUGG
rnacentral:rRNA from 1 species